rnacentral:rRNA from 1 species
GACGAACGCUGGCGGCGUGCCUAAUACAUGCAAGUAGAACGCAUUUGCGAAAGGGUGAGUAACGCGUAGGUAACUGCCUCAUAGCGGGGGAUACCUCUUGUAAACGAUAGCUAAUACCGCAUAAUGUGAGAUGGACCUGCGUUGUAUUAGCUAGUUGGUGGGGUAACGGCCCACCAAGGCGACGAUAAAUAGCCGGCCUGAGAGGGUGAUCGGCCACACUGGGACUGAGACACGGCCCAGACUCCUACGGGAGGCAGCAGUAGGGAAUCUUCGGCAAUGGACGGAAGUCUGACCGAGCAACGCCGCGUGAGUGAUGAAGGUUUUCGGGUCGUAAAGCUCUGUUGUUCGAGAAGCGGUACCGAAACAGAAAGGGACGGCUAACUACGUGCCAGCAGCCGCGGUAAUUC